rnacentral:lncRNA from 1 species
AGAGAGAAGGAAGAGUGUCUCAAGGAGCUCAAGUGUGCUGCAGAAUCCAGAUGCAGGACAGAAUUAAGAAGAAACUACAGCAAUUACCUGGCUCCUUUCUCAGUACAGACUUGUAGGGACACAACCUAUUUUCAUCACCCUCUCGUUAGAAUUUUCACCCACUCCUUAAGUGCAGCUAACGCAUUACCUAGUGGUACAAUUAACCACAGGAAAGUGCUGAAUUUGCAUUUAAAACAAGGUUAUUUGACUUUGCUAAAAGCUGAGCUGUGACUGACAUGUUAUUUUUAUUGUGACAGAACUUAUUCAAACCAUCUAAAAUAUCACUUAAAAAUAAAGAUUUGAACAACUCUUCUACAAUCCCCUUACCAAUUCAUAAUUAAAACCACAGAGCAUACUAGCUGUAAUCCAGUUAUGCUCCCCACCGCAUUCCUGCAUGUGAAAUAAACAGAUUACUUACAUGUUUUUAGUGAUUCCAGUUUCUUCUGCCCCAAAGCAAAAUACUGUAAUUCCCUUUUCCCUUUCCUACCAGUGCAGAAUUGUAUGUGAUGCCUCUCAUUUUCCAUAAGAUUUUAUGUGCAGAAAACUAACUAAACUAUACAGAAUUGUAAUCUCUCUUCAUUAGCAGGAAGUAAAAGAACAUAUCCAUGGAUCUCUUGCUCUUCUCACAAAUGCAGAGUGCAUAUUAGGGGCAAAUAAUGAAAUAAUUAAGUACACAGUCACUAAGUUUAUAUGCUAGUUUUGCAGCCAUUCUUUCUCUAUGAAUAUUCUAUUUCCAAUAGAGAAGCUCUGAAUCUUUUCUGUCAGUGGCAGAACCAUGUUUUG